rnacentral:lncRNA from 1 species
UGCCUGUGCAGGCUGUGGGCUUGGUUUGACUGUAGCCCUUUGAGAUUGAAAAUCCUGUCAUGUACCAAGAGCAAAGUACUUGAGGCCAAGGAGGCAGAGACUCAAUCUGACCCAGCAGUCAGCACAGAGAAAAGAUAACUUCAAACAAGAAGCACUUG